UAUACCCGUGUUACGCGUAUGAUC
rnacentral:siRNA from 1 species